UCCGUCUGGUAUUAAGUGUUGCAACUUUGUAUAGAUAAGCAUGUAUCUAGACGUGUUUUAGUAUGUAAAAAUAUUACGUAUUUGCAUGGUUCGAAAAACCAAUCCGAAAUCCCUUGCAGCCUAUAUCAUCGAUUUUUUUUUUGAUGAAAUGCAGCAACACUGUUUUUUUGUUUUUUAUCAAGGAGGAAUAACGGCAGAAAGUUUCACCUACGAUCUGUCCGUCAAAAUAAGUUGUACCUAUCAGGACAUUUCGUCCAUUUGAAUGGUAUUCACUAUUCACAGUCUGCAUAACCGUAGAAACACGGCAGUUUCGCGUCCAAAUUUUGUCCGUAUUGAAUGCAUACAAGUUUACUUGACCAGCUAAUACGUCCGAGAAAAGCAAGAGAUGAAUU
rnacentral:lncRNA from 1 species